rnacentral:rRNA from 1 species
GCUGGCGGCAUGCUUAACACAUGCAAGUCGAACGGCAGCAUGACCUAGCUUGCUAGGUUGAUGGCGAGUGGCGGACGGGUGAGUAACGCGUAGGAAUCUGUUAUGUAGAGGGGGACAACCCGGGGAAACUCGGGCUAAUACCGCAUACGCUUUUCGGAGGAAAGCUGGGGCUUCAGUUUACUGAACCUGGCGCUAUAUAGUGAGCCUGCGUUGGAUUAGCUUGUUGGUGGGGUAAAGGCUUACCAAGGCGAUGAUCCAUAGCUGGUCUGAGAGGAUGAUCAGCCACACUGGGACUGAGACACGGCCCAGACUCCUACGGGAGGCAGCAGUGGGGAAUAUUGGACAAUGGGGGGAACCCUGAUCCAGCAAUGCCGCGUGUGUGAAGAAGGCCUGCGGGUUGUAAAGCACUUUUAUUGGGGAAGAAGAUUGUUAGGUUAAGAGCUAGACAUGAGGACGUUACCCAAGGAAUAAGCACCGGCUAACUCUGUG